rnacentral:rRNA from 1 species
UACGUAGGGUGCAGGCGUUAAUCGGAAUUACUGGGCGUAAAGGGCGCGUAGGCGGCCUCGUAAGUCCUGUGUGAAAUCCCCCGGCUCAACUGGGGAACUGCACAGGAAACUGCGAGGCUUGAGUUCGGGAGAGGGAAGCGGAAUUCCGGGUGUAGCGGUGAAAUGCGUAGAUAUCCGGAGGAACACCGGUGGCGAAGGCGGCUUCCUGGACCGACACUGACGCUGAGGCGCGAAAGCCAGGGGAGCAAACGGG